rnacentral:rRNA from 1 species
AUUGAACGCUGGCGGCAUGCCUUACACAUGCAAGUCGAACGGCAGCACGGGAGCAAUCCUGGUGGCGAGUGGCGAACGGGUGAGUAAUAUAUCGGAACGUGCCCAGUCGUGGGGAUAACGUAGCGAAAGCUACGCUAAUACCGCAUACGAUCUAUGGAUGAAAGCGGGGGAUCGCAAGACCUCGCGCGAUUGGAGCGGCCGAUAUCAGAUUAGGUAGUUGGUGAGGUAAAGGCUCACCAAGCCGACGAUCUGUAGCUGGUCUGAGAGGACGACCAGCCACACUGGGACUGAGACACGGCCCAGACUCCUACGGGAGGCAGCAGUGGGGAAUUUUGGUACAAUGGGCGCGAAGCCUGAUCCAGCAAUGCCG